GCAAGUCGAAGGGCAGCACGGUUUUCGGACUGGUGGCGAUCGGCGCCCGGGUGCGUAACGCGUAUGCAACCUACCUUAUACAGGGGGAUAGCCCAGAGAAAUUUGGAUUAAUACCCCAUAGUACUACAAGAUAGCAUUUGAAAGUAGUUAAAGAUUUAUCGGUAUAAGAUGGGCAUGCGUUAGAUUAGUUAGUUGGUGAGGUAACGGCUCACCAAGACUACGAUCUAUAGGGGACCUGAGAGGGUGAU
rnacentral:rRNA from 1 species